CUAGUAACGGCGAGUGAAGAGGCAAAAGCUCAAGUUUGGAAGCUCAAUGGUUUAACCAUUGCGCAUUGUAAACUGAAAACAGGAUCAAUCAGGUACACCGGGUGAUAAGUUCCUUGGAAUAGGACAUCAUGGAGGGUGAGAAUCCCGUCUUUGACCCGAGUCUAGUAUCUUUUGUAUUGGCCUGUUCAAGAGUCAGGUUGUUUGGGAAUGCAGCCUAAAGCUGGAGGUAAAUCCCUCCUGAAGCUAAAUAAUGGCGAGAGACCGAUAGCGAACAAGUACCGUGAGGGAAAGAUGAAAAGAACUCUGAAGAGAGAGUUAAACAGUACGUGAAAUUGCUUAAAGGGAAGCAUAUAAAGCUAGGAUGCGAUUGUUUUCUUCAGGUUGAGCUUUGGCUUGACUGUUCAGAAGGAUAAUCCAAGACAACAAGAAUUGGAGGAGGAGAAUAAGCCAUUGGGGAAGGUAAUCCUUCGGGAUGUUUAUAGACCUGAUGGUUCGCGCUCUUCUUUCGAUUGAGGUACGCUUUUUUUAAAGGUUGUUGUCUGAAUGGCUUUAUAUGGCCCGUCUUGAAACACGGACCAAGGAGUCCACCUAAUGUGCGAGUAUUUGGGAGGUAAACCCAUAUGCGCAAUGAAAGUGAUUUUACCUAUGAGGGGGUCUCUCGGGGCCUCUGCAAUAGGAUCGGGCAGGGACGUUUUAUACUGAACUGACUCAGAUAAAGCACAUUGGAUGGGACCCGAAAGAUGGUGAACUAUGCUUGGAUAGGGUGAAGCCAAAGGAAACUUUGGUGGAGGCUCGUAGCGAUUCUGACGUG
rnacentral:rRNA from 1 species